CUUCUGAGUAGAUGGGUGGUUCACCUUCACCAGAAGCAGUCUCAAAAAAUCCCCAUGGCAUCUGCCACUGUGAGAGAAUUUCAAGUUCACGAGGCUGAGAGACAGACACACUAACCAAAACGGGGCACAAGCGAGAAAUGGCUGUUCCAGAAAGAAGCAACACACAGAGCCUCAACUCGCACAAAGACAGAGCACCAAUUACACAGAAAACCACCACCAAAGGAACCCAGAAACACUCAGACAUGCUUUAGAGAUGCCUUAAAAUGCUCACGUGGAAAAGAAAGAGAAAAUAAGUUUAAGAGAUUGUAUCCUUUUAUUUUUAAUUUUUAAAAAUGUAAUUAGUGACUUCAUACUUUUUCCUUCUUUGUAUAAAAUUGCUAUUCUGAUGUGCACAUGGGUACUAGAAACAGUCAUUAAAAA
rnacentral:lncRNA from 1 species